AAGACGUGCAGUGUCGACGAACACUGGGAGUACAAGCAGAUAGAGCCAGCAGCUCCUGAAUGCGGACUUUGUACAUCGCCUGGAGCAAUAAAUAUGAGAAUGAGAAGAUGCUAAACCUCCUGAUUCAGGAAGAAUGCACCAGAGGACACUUCAAAUAAAACCCUGGAGACUGGGACCUGGCCUGCUUGCCGCCCAGCAAUUCUCUCACCUUUCCCCCUGUUGUAACGGCAACAUAACAUAAAGUUUGCUCAUUGCAUUUACCCAUGUCCUUUGUAUAAUAUUGGAGAACAGGGUGUGCAUAAAUAAAUGAUUUAAAGUUGACUUUC